rnacentral:misc_RNA from 1 species
UAAAAAAGAAAGAAGAAGAAAAGCAAUUCAAUUUGAACAAAUGAAGUUCCAGACAGAAAAAGAAUAACAAAAGAAAAUGCUGAAAGUGGCUCGUUUUUCUAAUACCCAGGCCAGCUGCUAAUACUUUUUGGCCCCUUUAUUUACAAAAGGAUCUGUUUACUUGAAUAAAUUUCAGCAGAAAAUCGAACAGCUCCAACUUUCAUAUUUGUACCGAUAAUUUGCACAGAACGUAUGCACUGAAAAGAGGGCACUAUAUCGGUAAUUAAGCUUCAUCGAUACAGUGAGAUGCUCAAAGAGAUAUGCAAAAAACUAGUGGCCGCCUCGACCGAGGGAUGGAUUCUGGGUUACGUAAAGAGUCACCGGACGUAACAUCACGAACUGUAUGAAGAGUAAAGAAACUAAAUCUUACGUGAAACUUAAACUUCCAGUGCAAUCACGUAAAUUCGUUUCGUAGAACCGUAAUAUCGUCGUGAGAUUGCGAAGAAGCUGUUUGUACUCUUUC